rnacentral:rRNA from 1 species
UGGGGAAUAUUGCACAAUGGGCGCAAGCCUGAUGCAGCCAUGCCGCGUGUAUGAAGAAGGCCUUCGGGUUGUAAAGUACUUUCAGCGGGGAGGAAGGGAGUAAAGUUAAUACCUUUGCUCAUUGACGUUACCCGCAGAAGAAGCACCGGCUAACUCCGUGCCAGCAGCCGCGGUAAUACGGAGGGUGCAAGCGUUAAUCGGAAUUACUGGGCGUAAAGCGCACGCAGGCGGUUUGUUAAGUCAGAUGUGAAAUCCCCGGGCUCAACCUGGGAACUGCAUCUGAUACUGGCAAGCUUGAGUCUCGUAGAGGGGGGUACAAUUCCAGGUGUAGCGGUGAAAUGCGUAGAGAUCUGGAGGAAUACCGGUGGCGAAGGCGGCCCCCUGGACAAAGACUGACGCUCAGGUGCGAAAGCGUGGGGAGCAAACAGG